UACGAAGGUCCCAAGCGUUAUCCGGAUUUAUUGGGUUUAAAGGGUGCGUAGGCGGGUUAUUAAGUCAGUGGUGAAAGCUCCCAGCUCAACUGGGAAACUGCCAUUGAUACUGAUAGGCUUGAGUAUGAUUGAAGUGGGCGGAAUGUGUCAUGUAGCGGUGAAAUGCUUAGAUAUGACACAGAACACCGAUUGCGAAGGCAGCUCACUAAGCCAUAACUGACGCUGAUGCACGAAAGCGUGGGGAGCAAACAGG
rnacentral:rRNA from 1 species